AGGGGAGCGAGGAGUCGGGCGAGCAG
rnacentral:piRNA from 1 species